GCGGCAGCUACCAUGCAGUCGAGCGGGGAAGGUAGCUUGCUACCUAACCUAGCGGCGGACGGGUGAGUAAUGCUUAGGAAUCUGCCUAUUAGUGGGGGACAACAUUCCGAAAGGAAUGCUAAUACCGCAUACGCCCUACGGGGGAAAGCAGGGGAUCUUCGGACCUUGCGCUAAUAGAUGAGCCUAAGUCAGAUUAGCUAGUUGGUGGGGUAAAGGCCUACCAAGGCGACGAUCUGUAGCGGGUCUGAGAGGAUGAUCCGCCACACUGGGACUGAGACACGGCCCAGACUCCUACGGGAGGCAGCAGUGGGGAAUAUUGGACAAUGGGCGAAAGCCUGAUCCAGCCAUGCCGCGUGUGUGAAGAAGGCCUUUUGGUUGUAAAGCACUUUAAGCGAGGAGGAGGCUACCGAGAUUAAUACUCUUGGAUAGUGGACGUUACUCGCAGAAUAAGCACCGGCUAACUCUGUGCCAGCAGCCGCGGUAAUACAGAGGGUGCGAGCGUUAAUCGGAUUUACUGGGCGUAAAGCGUGCGUAGGCGGCUUUUUAAGUCGGAUGUGAAAUCCCUGAGCUUAACUUAGGAAUUGCAUUCGAUACUGGGAAGCUAGAGUAUGGGAGAGGAUGGUAGAAUUCCAGGUGUAGCGGUGAAAUGCGUAGAGAUCUGGAGGAAUACCGAUGGCGAAGGCAGCCAUCUGGCCUAAUACUGACGCUGAGGUACGAAAGCAUGGGGAGCAAACAGGAUUAGAUACCCUGGUAGUCCAUGCCGUAAACGAUGUCUACUAGCCGUUGGGGCCUUUGAGGCUUUAGUGGCGCAGCUAACGCGAUAAGUAGACCGCCUGGGGAGUACGGUCGCAAGACUAAAACUCAAAUGAAUUGACGGGGGCCCGCACAAGCGGUGGAGCAUGUGGUUUAAUUCGAUGCAACGCGAAGAACCUUACCUGGUCUUGACAUAGUAAGAACUUUCCAGAGAUGGAUUGGUGCCUUCGGGAACUUACAUACAG
rnacentral:rRNA from 1 species